CCCCUUCUUGACAAAAUUCAUGCUCGUCUGACUGGCUGGAAGGCUCGGUUGCUCUCGGUUGCAGGAAGACUUGUCCUCAUUAACGCGGUCCUCUCCUCCAUGACAGUUUACUGGCUCGCGAUGUUUGAGCUGCCGGUUUGGACCCACCUACAUAUCGAUAAGCUGCGCCGUGCUUGGUUAUGGCGCGGAGAAGAAUCAUCCCACGGUGGCCGCUACAAGGUUGCGUGGCGCACGAUCUGCAGGCCCAAGCAGCUUGGCGGCCUCGGCAUUGUCGACCUACAAUUGUUCGGCACUGCGCUGCGGCUCCACUGGCUCUGGCUCGAGAGAACGGCCCGGAGCGACCUUGGGUUGGGCUGCCAACUCCAUGCACCACGUCUGACCGCCUCUUCUUUGCUAUGCCAUCACACUGUCAGCUUGGCAAUGGGAAGCUGGCUCGUUUCUGGUAUGACGCUUGGUUGGAUGGUCACGCCCCCUGCCUUAUUGCCCCGGGAGUUUUCAGAAUCGCCUCAAACAAACUCCGAACGGUAG
rnacentral:rRNA from 1 species